UGGGGAAUAUUGCGCAAUGGGCGAAAGCCUGACGCAGCAACGCCGCGUGAGUGAGGAAGGCCUUCGGGUUGUAAAGCUCUGUCUUCUUGGACGAAACCUAAUUGGUUAAUAGCCAAUUAGAUGACGGUACAAGAGGAGGAAGCCCCGGCUAACUACGUGCCAGCAGCCGCGGUAAAACGUAGGGGGCGAGCGUUGUCCGGAAUUAUUGGGCGUAAAGCGCGUGUAGGCGGAAGCUUAAGUCAGGUGUGAAAACUCGGGGCUUAACCCCGAGCCGGCAUCUGAAACUGGGUUUCUUGAGGACGGGAGAGGAAAGCGGAAUUCCUAGUGUAGCGGUGAAAUGCGUAGAUAUUAGGAGGAACACCAGUGGCGAAGGCGGCUUUCUGGACCGUAACUGACGCUGAGACGCGAAAGCGUGGGGAGCAAACAGG
rnacentral:rRNA from 1 species